rnacentral:lncRNA from 1 species
CCCCUGGUGCGGUUUUUCUUUGUUAAUUUUCUGACCAGCACAUCUUCAACCUGACAUAAUUAAUAAGGAAAUUAAUUAUUAGGAGGCCCAAACGAAGAAUUUGGCUAAAAUCCCAUGAUCCUGGGCCUGUGGCCUGAGUCCAAUUUCGUGGGCCAAUUCCAAUCAACCUGCCAAAUUUCAGCCCAUUCCAACAUCGUCG